UAUCAGGACAUUAUAUCACAACACAUACGAUUUUGAUAGAUUGAGAGUUGCUAUAAGGAAGAUUGAGAUGGAGCAUAAACCAGUUGCGAAACCUAGUAAACAUGCAACUGCGAAAGCUGCUACAUGUACUUCUACUAGUGACACUAGUGUUGAUCGUUUCAGCGAGAUGCAGUCUCAGCUUGACCAGUUCACCGCACAAGUUAUGCAGCUUAGUCAGAAUCCUCAGACUUCUCAGUAUAGUCAAAUGCCUCAACAAUCUUAUCAAAGAGGGAGAAGAGCAUUUAGAGGAUAUCGAACAAGUCAGUCGCCUAGAAUGCCUUCUGCACCAUUACCUGCUAAUGAGGCGAAUCCUGCACCAUCAGCAGUUCAACAGAACAAAGUCAUUUGCUAUAGGUGUCACCAGGAAGGACAUAUAGCAGUGGGAUGCCGUGUAAGACUGGAUCAUCAGAAGGACCAGCAUUUAAACUUCAACAGGUCGAAUCCUGGGGCCAGGGGUUUGGCUUCACCAAGACAAGGCUCACUGACAAGAAGGCAAUAGUUGGUGUUACAAAUGAGGUGACUAUUGAGAUUGAGCAGGUCACAUGUUUAGCUCUUUUAGAUACAGGUGCUACGGUGUCAACCAUAAGUGCAGACUUCUAUGACCAGUAUUUAUCUCAUAUUGAGAUCCAUCCUCUUGAUGAAGUUCUGCAUAUUGAAUGUUCAGAUGGUCAGAAUAUGCCCUAUUUAGGUUAUAUGGGUAUAUCCCUCUAACUAUUUUUAGAAUCGGUAGGACAACAAAGAAGUGCCUUUAAGCAAAAUAGUCCCUAUACUUGCAGAGUGUAUAUACAUUUAUUGGGACAUUUUAAAUCAGAAUGUUUGACACAUGUCAGAAAAGAGGAUUUGCAAUUUUUAAAACAAGUGUCAAAAUUGAAUUAUCAUUUGAAGAAAAGAAUUGAAAUUGUUUGAUGUACACCCUUUCCAAAACUGAGAAAUUCCCUACUUUUACUUUCAUUUUCAGAGUUUUUCAAUACAGACGCCAAGCCACGAAAUUUUAACAGGAAAGAGACAAUUUGAUGAGCUUUCAUUCAAGAGGUCUCUCGUUGCUGAACGAAAAUUAGGGCCGGAGCUAUGAACCCUAACGUUAACAUUACCGCCUAUGGAAAAUGCAUUAGUGGACUAUACCCAUAUUGAGCUCCAUGCUGUGCGAUCAUUUCAAGCGAGCAAAAGUGAAAGUAGAAAAGCAGAAAGUUUCCGGUGAGGAAAAAUACUUCAUUCUAGCAGUGUCCAGCUAUCUAAGAUUAGUUUGCAUUGUAAGGGAAUUGUAUUAGUGUCCGAUAACAUGUAAAUUGAAAUGGAAGUCUUCUUCAAAGAAUAAAACACAACAAUGGGCCACACUUUAUAGUUUUUCAAUACAGACGCAUUUUGCCGGAAAACGAAUCUGACUUCAAGCCACGAAAUUUUAACAGGAAAGAGACAAUUUGAUGAGCUUUCAUUCAAGAGGUCCCUCGUUGCUGAACGAAAAUUAGGGCCGGAGCUAUGAACCCUAACGUUAACAUUACCGCCUAUGGAAAAUGCAUUAGUGGACUAUACCCAUAUAUCUGUUAGUAUUAAGUCUUAUGGUGCACCGCAUCAUGUAUUAGAGGAGUGCUUGUUUUUAAUAGUACCUAACAGCAAUUACAAUGCUAGAGUACCUGUCCUCAUUGGCACUAACAUUAUAAGUCGCCUCAUAGAUUUAACUUGUGACGAGUUCGGCACUAGAUAUUUACAAGAAGCCAAUUUGCAUACCCCAUGGUAUAUGUCAUUUAGGUGCAUGGCACUUAGACAAAGAGAGUUGCAACGCCACAGCAACAGACUUUGUAUUAUAAAAUCUGCUGCAACAGAGAGACUUAUCAUUCCACCUAAUGGAAGAGUAACUUGAGUUUGUUACAUGGAUAAGAAGCUAUCAUACCAUAGGGGUCCUAGCUAUGCUUCAACCUACAGGAAAAUCAAUCAUCCAUACGGAUAUAGAUAUCACUAUAUCUCUCCAACUCUAUGAUUACCAGUCUAGUGAUAGUGUUCCUGUGGAGAUAUGCAAUGUCACCACCAGGACAGUUGCAGUGCCACCACGAGCAGUAUUGUGUGAACUCCAGCCUGUUCAGAUUUUAAAUACCAUGAUGUCUGUGGAUUCCACAAUUACUUCCGAUUUGGAAAACAUCUAUGACAAGAUCAAGAUUUCUCCAGAUGUGACAGAGGAGAAAGAGCAUCAAUGUAAAGACUUGAUAUCAGAAUAUUCUGAUAUAUUUUCUACAAGUUCGACUGACAUACAUGUAGGAACAACAGAUAAGGUGAAACACCGGAUAGAGUUGUACGAUACAACACCAUUCAAACAGAAGUAUCGUAGGAUCCCACCAGCAAUGAUUGACGAAGUCAGAACUCUCACACAGGAACUACUAGCCAGUGGAGUGAUACGUGCAUCACACUCUCCAUUUUCCUUUAAUGUAGUUCUUGUCAGGAAGCACGAUGGAUCCUUACGUCUCUGUAUUGAUUACCAUCAACUCUAUUCCAGGACAGUCAAGGAUAAUUACGCCCUUCCACGUGUAGAAGAGAUCUUAGACUCUCUCUCUCUGGUAAUAGAUUUUUUACUGUUCUUGAUAUAAAAUCAGGGUAUCACCAGAUAGAGAUAAAAGAUUCCAAUAAGGAAAGAACUGCAUUUACCGUGGGUACACUCAGAUUUUAUGAGUUCAACAAGAUGAGUUUUGGUCUGGCCAAUGCUCCAGCUACUUAUCAGCGUGUACAAGAAGAGCGUCUAGGAGAUCUGCACUUGAAAAUAUGUUAUAUUUAUUUAGAAGACCUGAUUAUAUUUUCAAGAACUUUUGAGGAGCAUUUGGCUACACCGAGACAGAUUUUUGACCGAAUUAGACAAUAUGGGUUGAAACUUUCACCCAAGAAAUGCUCAUUUCUUAUGAAUAAAGUAAAAUACAUUGGUCACAUUGUGUCAGAAGAAGGCGUUCAAGCUGACCCUGACAAAGUUGACAAAUUAAGGAAAUGGCCAACACCUAAAUACCCAGAGGAGGUUAGGUCAUUCCUAGGCUUCGUAGGCUAUUAUAAAAAGUUCAUUGGGAAUUUUUCUAAUAUUGCCCGGCCACUUAUAGAUGUCAUGGCUACUGGGAAGAAGAGUUGAAGACAUAGUACCAAACAGCAUGCCAGAUGGAAGUGGGGUCAAGAUCAGGAGAGAGCAUUUAAAGUCUUGAAGGACAAGCUCACAUUUCCACCUAUUCGUGGGUACCCGGACUUCUCGAAGUCGUUUGAGCUUCAUACAGAUGCAUGUGGUACAGGUUUAGAUGCUGUUCUUUACCAGAAGCAGAACGGGCAUAACAGGGUCAUAGCCUACGCAAGCCGAGGAUUGACAAAGUCCGAACGGAACUAUCCAACUCAUAAGUUAGAGUUCCUUGCUCUGAAAUGGGCCAUUACUGAAAAGUUUUCAGAUUAUCUUAUGGGACAAACUUUUUCAGUAUUUACGGACAAUAACCCCUUAACUUAUGUCCUUACAUCAGCUAAAUUAGACGCCACUGGCCAUUACUGGAUUGCAGCUCUA